rnacentral:tRNA from 2 species
GGGUCGUUAGCUCAGUUGGUAGAGCACUCGGCUUUUAACCGAUAGGCCCUGGGUUCGAGUCCCAGACGACCCA